CGGUAGAGAGGUGCUUGCACCUCUUGAGAGCGGCGGACGGGUGAGUAAUACCUAGGAAUCUGCCUGGUAGUGGGGGAUAACGUUCGGAAACGGACGCUAAUACCGCAUACGUCCUACGGGAGAAAGCAGGGGACCUUCGGGCCUUGCGCUAUCAGAUGAGCCUAGGUCGGAUUAGCUAGUUGGUGAGGUAAUGGCUCACCAAGGCUACGAUCCGUAACUGGUCUGAGAGGAUGAUCAGUCACACUGGAACUGAGACACGGUCCAGACUCCUACGGGAGGCAGCAGUGGGGAAUAUUGGACAAUGGGCGAAAGCCUGAUCCAGCCAUGCCGCGUGUGUGAAGAAGGUCUUCGGAUUGUAAAGCACUUUAAGUUGGGAGGAAGGGCAUUAACCUAAUACGUUAGUGUCUUGACGUUACCGACAGAAUAAGCACC
rnacentral:rRNA from 1 species